rnacentral:rRNA from 1 species
AUGACCCCAUGUACUACAACGAUUUCAUGGAGGAGAUGGUCUAUGAGGGUGGCCACGAGUAUGAUGCCGACGAGACUCAAAGCUAAGAAUGUCGCAACCAAGACACCCACGACCAAGACACUCAUGACCACCAAGGCGAAGACACCCAAGGCCAAGAAACUUAAGACCAAGGCAACCAAGGCUAAGAAAAUGUUGACAUCAAGGAUGAGCCAUUGUUUCACGAGGAGCUAUCUCAUCAAGCCAAUGCACAAAAGAGGCGGCAAAAGCGUGAGGACGAUAGGAUCUGCGAAGUAUGAGGACAAGUUACUUUGUGAAGCUUGGAUGGUAAUAGGACAAGAUCCCAAAACCGGCGUCAAGCAAAAAGGAACAACAUUUUAA